AGAGACAGCAGUAGCCGCGGUAAUACGUAGGUCCCGAGCGUUGUCCGGAUUUAUUGGGCGUAAAGGGAGCGCAGGCGGUUUAGUAAGUCUGAAGUUAAAGGCAUUGGCUCAACCAAUGUAUGCUUUGGAAACUGUUAGACUUGAGUGCAGAAGGGGAGAGUGGAAUUCCAUGUGUAGCGGUGAAAUGCGUAGAUAUAUGGAGGAACACCGGUGGCGAAAGCGGCUCUCUGGUCUGUAACUGACGCUGAGGCUCGAAAGCGUGGGGAGCGAACAGGAUUAGAUACCCCGGUAGUCCCUGUCUCUUAUACA
rnacentral:rRNA from 1 species